rnacentral:tRNA from 1 species
GGGUUUGUAGCUCAGUGGUAGAGUACUUGCCUAGCAUGCAUGAGGCACUGGGUUCCAUUCUCAACACCA